rnacentral:lncRNA from 1 species
CCUUAUUCUAAUGUUAUGAUGAUGUAAAGGAACAAUUAUUAUGAAUAUAUUUUCAAUGGACAUAAAAACCUGAAUGCAUAUAAUAAAAACAUCUUUUAUUUGCAUAAUUGUCCCUCAGUACAGUACACAUGGUAAAUGCACAAUAUAUUCAACAUAUUCCAAAAAGAUAGAAUAUUUAACAACAACAUGAUAACAAUAAUAUUACCAUAUUUAAAUUAUAUUGUAAUACAGUAUCUAUAAUAUUAACCUAUGUUUUGAACUACAAUGUAUGCAUGCACUGUUUAACUAAAAAUUGAUGUGCUAGGCAUGCAACUGACUGUAAUUCGAUUAAAUGAUUACUAUAUGCUGGAAUAUUUGAUUAAUUAAUCUUUUAAAACUUUAAUAAGUCUCUGAUUUAGUCAAAAUAGAUAAAUUACAUUCUAAGAAUAGAUUAGGGAUACAUUGUUAAGAAUUAUAAGACAGCAACCCAAAAACAGAUACCAGUACUACAAAAACAAACCCAUCUAGACUACAGACUAACUUAAAGUCUUUAAUAACAAAUAAAUAAACAUGUGUCUACACAAUAUUUCAGUUACCAAUUGCCCAAGUCUUCAUUAAAACACUGAUUAUCCAAAUGAUUGUAUUUUAAAAAGAAAUAUAUAUGGAGGGAAUAAUAUUCUACUGGUCAUGAAACAAUUGAAACAGCUCAUCCUUUUUUCGAAUUACAUAAAUACCUUUUAAUAUACAUUAGCAAUCAAAACAAUAAAAUAAGAUGCCAUAAAACUGAUACAUUUGAAAUAUAGAUUAAAGCUCUAUGUAGGCAGCAGCUAAAUACAACAAUGGGAAAAACAUAAAAUUCAAACUACUCUAAUAAAAUUUUCAAAACGUAUAAAACUCCACAAAUUGCAAUUUGUAUGUUCUGUUCCUACUAAGAAUCAUGGUGGCAAAACUUCAGAAUAAUCUGGCAACAGUAAGAGUAGUUUUUGAAACAAAAGCAGCACCAUAUUUUAAAAUGAUUGAAAGAUGUUGUUGAAUAAACAAACACUAUGAAGGGCUUCAAGUAUGGUCAUAUUUAUCUCAAUUAGAGAUCCUAAAAAAUAAGAAAUAUCAAAUAUAUGAACUGCAUUAUAAUUUUAAUAACAAUAUUCACCGAAUGUAACAUAUGUCAAUGGUGUCUGGAUAACAUUAUCAUACAUUUCAUAAUAAAGGAAACCAGGUGCUCCGCAGGGCGCAGCUUUAUACGACCGCAGAGGUCGAACCCUGAACAGUUGGGGCAAGUAUGGACAAAACAUUCAAGCAUGAUACAGCUCUGAAUUUGGAUUGUGAUCAAAUUUUUGACAUUACAUGGUUUUUUUUACACAAAACAAAUGCCAAGAUUUUACAAAUCAAUUAAAGAUUUCUUCUUCAAACUUUUUAAAUCUAAAAUUAAAUAGUUGACACAGCAUAGGUUUCUGACACAGAAUGAAUGUGGUCUAAUGAACUUAAAAGGUUUUUUUUGCCUUUGAGCAAAUCACUAUGCUGUUGAAUAUUAAUCCUCUCAAAAAAAUGUUUGAAGAAAUUUUCUUUUUUAUUUAUGAAAUUGAAAUGAGAAAAAUUUAACCCCCCCCCUUUUUUUUCACAUCCCCGUUUCCCUUUUUCAAAACUGAUAUCAAUUCAAAUUUCUAAUGGAGUUUGCAACAAUAACUAC